rnacentral:rRNA from 1 species
AUGGAACAAUGUAGGCAAGGGAAGUCGGCAAAACGGAUCCGUAACUUCGGGAAAAGGAUUGGCUCUGAGGACUGGGCUCGGGGGUCCCGGCCCCGAACCCGUCGGCUGUCGGCGGAUUGCUCGAGCUGCUCACGCGGCGAGAGCGGGUCGCCGCGUGCCGGCCGGGGGACGGACCGGGAAUUGCCCCUUCGGGGGCUUUCCCCGAGCAUGAAACAGUCGACUCAGAACUGGUACGGACAAGGGGAAUCCGACUGUUUAAUUAAAACAAAGCAUUGCGAUGGUCCUCGCGGAUGCUGA